UACGAGAGGCCCAAACAUUAUUCGGAAUUACUGGGCUUAAAGAGUUCGUAGGCGGCAUGGAAAGUAGGGUGUGAAAUCCCUCGGCUCAACCGAGGAAUUGCGCUCUAAACUGCCGUGCUAGAGGAAGCUAGAGGUGAGCGGAACUGAUGGUGGAGCGGUGAAAUGCGUUGAUAUCGGGAGGAACACCUAUGGCGAAGGCAGCUCGCUGGGACGUUACUGACGCUGAGACGCGAAAGCGUGGGGAGCAAACAGG
rnacentral:rRNA from 1 species